CAAUGGGCGCAAGCCUGAUGGAGCAACACCGCGUGAGUGAAGAAGGGUUUCGGCUCGUAAAGCUCUGUUGUUAAAGAAGAACACGUAUGAGAGUAACUGUUCAUACGUUGACGGUAUUUAACCAGAAAGUCACGGCUAACUACGUGCCAGCAGCCGCGGUAAUACGUAGGUGGCAAGCGUUAUCCGGAUUUAUUGGGCGUAAAGAGAGUGCAGGCGGGUUUUCUAAGUCUGAUGUGAAAGCCUUCGGCUUAACCGGAGAAGUGCAUCGGAAACUGGAUAACUUGAGUGCAGAAGAGGGUAGUGGAACUCCAUGUGUAGCGGUGGAAUGCGUAGAUAUAUGGAAGAACACCAGUGGCGAAGGCGGCUACCUGGUCUGCAACUGACGCUGAGACUCGAAAGCAUGGGUAGCGAACAGGAUUAGAUACCCUGGUAG
rnacentral:rRNA from 1 species